GUAUCUGACUAAGGUUUUUUCUUUUAAUGUGUGUGUUGCUCAAUCCCCAGGUUGAUGAUGUGUAAGACCAUACAGCCCACCCCUCAGGCAGGGCACAGCGUGGUGCUAGAAUCCUCUUCCUCCUCCCAAGGAGCCUCUGGGCUGAACGGGUCUGCCAGCAGGGAGAUGGAGGUCAAUGGCAGCACAGCGGGAAAGAAAAUGGUCGACAGCAAUGAGCUUGAGAGACUUUUCACUCAACCCAACACACAAGACACAUGCAUAUCUGACUCCUACACGCUGAACAACACCCAACUGUCUACAAUACCACUGGAUGAGUUUGCGAUGGAGUGGGAAACAGAGACGCAGUUCCACGAGCCUCCUGCAGCAGAAGCGGGUCGGCAUGACCAAGGCUGAUCUUGUAUGAAGGCCAAUUCACACGACACUGUCCACAGUGUCCACUUAGACUCUUCUGUCACUCAGGUUUGCAAGUGUUUCCUUUCAAAGUAGUUUGUCCUUUUGUGCAAAGAUUUUUUAUUGCUAAGUUAAGACGUUCUAGAGGAGCUAGGACUUUAAAGUUUUUGGCCUGGGUUUGGAGAGCUCUCUUCUGAUGUGAAGCUGUUUCUAGCUACGCAGGCCAGUUAAAUGUCUUUUUUUUCACAGUUUGGUCUUUUGUUUAUUUUCUGGUGUUGGGCAGCACAUGGAAUAGAGGCCCCAGAAUGUCCUUGCUGUACAAUAAUGAUUUUAUUUUUAAGUUUAUAGAAAUAUAUAAAUAUAUACAUAUAUCUUUAUCAUCUAUAUGUCAAAGUGGUUAUAAGUUAUUAGUCUUAUCUCCAAUUUUUCUGUGGAUGUCAAAGACUCCUGCUGCCUGCUCUCACCUACCAAUCAUUCCACCUUCAUGCUCACAGAAGACCUCAGCCUUCUUCCAGGGAUUCAAUAUAUUCUGUCUCAGGACUUUGUUUCAGUGAUAGUAACAUUUUUAUGAGUUCUCGGCCUUCAUACAGGCACUAGACUUGGCUGUGUGAACCUUACAAUUGAACAAAAACCUACCUCAGCCGGAAUGAAUGUGUUGCGGGAAGCUUUUAG
rnacentral:lncRNA from 1 species